AACUUUUUGCAAUGUAUCACUUGGCUCUCGCAUCGAUGAAGAACGCAGCGAAAUGCGAUACGUAAUGUGAAUUGCAGAAUUCAGUGAAUCAUCGAAUCUUUGAACGCACCUUGCGCCCCUUGGAAUUCCGAGGGGCACACCCGUUUGAGUGUCGUGAACAUCCUUCAACCUUUCUUGGUUUCUUAACCGGGGAAGGCUUGGACUUUGGGGGUCUUUCAUUGCUGGCCUCUUUGAAGCCAGCUCCUCCUAAAUGGAUUAGUGUGGUCUGCUUUGCCGAUCCUUGACGUGAUAAGAUGUUUCUACGUCUUGGGUUUCGCACUGUCGCUUUAGACCCCGCUUCUAACCGUCUUGCAUUCAAGACAGAGUUUUAAACCUUGACCUCAAAUCGGGUGAGACUACCCGCUGAACUUAAGCAUAUCAAUAAGCGGAGGCU
rnacentral:misc_RNA from 1 species